ACUGCAGACUGGAGACUCUGAGGUCAGACACAUUUUCUUUCUUUGAGUCUGUGCUACUAUUCAACACCUCAGGAAUGAUGAACACUGUGUGAAUCCUAACGUAAAAAUAAGCUGAACACCAUGAAACAAGCUAACAUUAGCUCUGCUGAGAUCAGCAGCCUGUUCUUCAUCUGUAUACAUGAACAGCUGUAUGAAUGUUGUGCUGACAUUUGGAGGAUUUAGAUAAAGUGGAUACACAAUCAGAAAUGAUCCUCUAAUCAUUUAGAGAAAACGUUAUUCAUCAGGACAAAGUGAUGUUGACCGGAACACAUGUGAGUGGAUUAUAUAAAUUAUUUUUUUCUUCAUUUAUUCUUUAUUCAGAUUGAGGGGCUGCAGUUUGUCAGCGGUCAGCUGUUCUUCUCUGGCCUCAGUGAAAAGUCCAACCCCUCCCAUCUCAGAGAGCUGGACCUGAGAGGGAAUAACAAGUUGCAGGAUUCAGAUGUGAAGCUGCUGAGUGAUCUUGAAAAGAAUCCAAACUAUCGACUGGAGACUCUGAGCUUGCGAUGGUGAUCUCGUAAUGUGAGCGAUAAGGACGCUGGUGGUGCAGAGAGGAGCAGCUGUGUCCUGAUGAGCCACAGAGGAUGAACCUCCACCAUCUUGUGGGUGGAGAAGCUCUGAAAGCUGAGGAGAGCUUCAUCCAUCAGGGACUGACAGAGGAAUCACAUCAGAGCUCAUUUCAGUUAUAUUUCUAAUGAUAAUAAUAAUAGAAUCAUUUGUUCUCCACACAUUACAGGAGUGGAAGGUCAAACAUGAAGCAGCUAGUAGAAAUGUUAAGGGAUCAAACUCUACCAAGAAAUGCUGCAGUUAUUCUUCUCGUGACAAUUAUUUUGAUUCUAUUUUUUACAAAAAGUACAAACCAGAACUUGAUCAUAUGUAACAUGUAUUAAAGUAAUCUUCUCUUUAUAACCUCUUUAAAACAUGCCCUGCACUCCUAAAAUGUCCUGACCUCAUCGGGCUGAGCUGCAUGUGUGAAUAGGAAGUGUCCUUUCACACUAAGUGAUAAUAAAACAUAAUGAACUUCAGAA